UGCAAGUCGAGCGGCAGCGACAACAUUGACCCUUCGGGUGAUUUGUUGGGCGGCGAGCGGCGGACGGGUGAGUAAUGGCUGGGAACCUGCCCUGACGUGGGGGAUAACAGUUGGAAACGACUGCUAAUACCGCAUGAUGUCUUCGGACCAAAGAGGAGGACCUUCGGGCUUCUCGCGUCGGGAUGGGCCCAGUUGGGAUUAGCUAGUUGGUGAGGUAAUGGCUCACCAAGGCGACGAUCCCUAGCUGGUUUGAGAGGAUGAUCAGCCACACUGGAACUGAGACACGGUCCAGACUCCUACGGGAGGCAGCAGUGGGGAAUAUUGCACAAUGGGCGCAAGCCUGAUGCAGCCAUGCCGCGUGUGUGAAGAAGGCCUUCGGGUUGUAAAGCACUUUCAGCAGUGAGGAAGGCGUAGUGGUUAAUACCCGCUGCGCUUGACGUUAGCUGCAGAAGAAGCACCGGCUAACUCCGUGCCAGCAGCCGCGGUAAUACGGAGGGUGCGAGCGUUAAUCGGAAUUACUGGGCGUAAAGCGCAUGCAGGCGGUUUGUUAAGCAAGAUGUGAAAGCCCCGGGCUCAACCUGGGAACCGCAUUUUGAACUGGCAAC
rnacentral:rRNA from 1 species